rnacentral:rRNA from 1 species
CCUACGGGAGGCUGCAGUGGGGAAUAUUGGACAAUAGGGGGAACCCUGAUCCAGCCAUGCCGCGUGUGUGAAGAAGGCCCUCGGGUUGUAAAGCACUUUCAGUGAGGAAGAACGCCUGGUGGUUAAUACCCAUCAGGAAAGACAUCACUCACAGAAGAAGCACCGGCUAACUCCGUGCCAGCAGCCGCGGUAAUACGGAGGGUGCGAGCGUUAAUCGGAAUUACUGGGCGUAAAGCGCGCGUAGGUGGCUUGAUAAGCCGGUUGUGAAAGCCCCGGGCUCAACCUGGGAACGGCAUCCGGAACUGUCAAGCUAGAGUGCAGGAGAGGAAGGUAGAAUUCCCGGUGUAGCGGUGAAAUGCGUAGAGAUCGGGAGGAAUACCAGUGGCGAAGGCGGCCUUCUGGACUGACACUGACACUGAGGUGCGAAAGCGUGGGUAGCAAACAGGAUUAGAUACCCGAGUAGUC